UACGUAGGGUGCAAGCGUUGUCCGGAAUUAUUGGGCGUAAAGAGCUCGUAGGCGGUCUGUUAAGUCUAGGGUGAAAGCUCCCGGCUCAACUGGGAGAGGUCCUUGGAUACUGGCGGACUUGAGGGAGGCAGAGGAAAGUGGAAUUCCCGGUGUAGUGGUGAUAUGCGUAGAUAUCGGGAGGAACACCAGUGGCGAAGGCGGCUUUCUGGGCCUUACCUGACGCUGAGACGCGAAAGCGUGGGGAGCGAACCGG
rnacentral:rRNA from 1 species